rnacentral:rRNA from 1 species
UACGGAGGGUGCAAGCGUUAUCCGGAUUCACUGGGUUUAAAGGGUGCGUAGGUGGGUCUGUAAGUCAGUGGUGAAAUCUCCGAGCUUAACUUGGAAACUGCCAUUGAUACUAUAGAUCUUGAAUAUUGUGGAGGUCAGCGGAAUAUGUCAUGUAGCGGUGAAAAUGCUUAGAUAUGACAUAGAACACCAAUUGCGAAGGCAGCUGGCUACACAAAUAUUGACACUGAGGCACGAAAAGCGUGGGGAGUCAAACAGGAUUAGAUUACCCU